rnacentral:lncRNA from 1 species
UUGCUUCUCUCUCAAGCUUCUUUCAAGCUUACUCUAACAGUAUUUGCAUUAUAUGUUACCUGAACAUGCUUGUGUGUUUAAAGUAUUUUUUUUGUGUGUUAAAGUAUUUCAUAGUAUUUUUUUUCUCGAGAAAUUUAUUGUAAUCCGAUAAACGAUGCUAUGGCUUAUUUCACCUGAGUUCAGUAAUAUCUGAAAUAUAUAACAUAUGGGUCAGUUCUUGC